rnacentral:rRNA from 1 species
UACGGAGGGAGCUAGCGUUGUUCGGAAUUACUGGGCGUAAAGCGCGCGUAGGCGGCUUUGUAAGUUAGAGGUGAAAGCCCUGGAGCUCGAACUUCAGAAUUGCCUUUAAGACUGCAUCGCUUGAAUCCGGGAGAGGUGAGUGGAAUUCCGAGUGAUAGAGGUGAAAUUCGUAGAUAUUCGGAAGAACACCAGUGGCGAAGGCGGCUCACUGGACCGGCAUUGACGCUGGAGGCGACGGAAAGCUAGGGGAGCAAACGGGA